GAUGAACGCUGGCGGCGUGCCUAAUACAUGCAAGUCGAGCGAACAGACGAGGAGCUUGCUCCUCUGACGUUAGCGGCGGACGGGUGAGUAACACGUGGAUAACCUACCUAUAAGACUGGGAUAACUUCGGGAAACCGGAGCUAAUACCGGAUAAUAUAUUGAACCGCAUGGUUCAAUAGUGAAAGACGGUUUUGCUGUCACUUAUAGAUGGAUCCGCGCCGCAUUAGCUAGUUGGUAAGGUAACGGCUUACCAAGGCGACGAUGCGUAGCCGACCUGAGAGGGUGAUCGGCCACACUGGAACUGAGACACGGUCCAGACUCCUACGGGAGGCAGCAGUAGGGAAUCUUCCGCAAUGGGCGAAAGCCUGACGGAGCAACGCCGCGUGAGUGAUGAAGGUCUUAGGAUCGUAAAGCUCUGUUAUUAGGGAAGAACAAAUGUGUAAGUAACUAUGCACGUCUUGACGGUACCUAAUCAGAAAGCCACGGCUAACUACGUG
rnacentral:rRNA from 1 species